rnacentral:rRNA from 1 species
GACGAACGCUGGCGGCGUGCUUAACACAUGCAAGUCGAACGGAAAGGCCCUGCUUUUGUGGGGUGCUCGAGUGGCGAACGGGUGAGUAACACGUGAGUAACCUGCCCUUGACUUUGGGAUAACUUCAGGAAACUGGGGCUAAUACCGGAUAGGAGCUCCUGCUGCAUGGUGGGGGUUGGAAAGUUUCGGCGGUUGGAGAUGGAUUCGCGGCUUAUCUGCUUGUUGGUGGGGUAGUGGCUUACCAAGGCUUUGACGGGUAGCCGGCCUGUGGGGGUGACCGGCCAUAUUGGGAAAUAGGUAAAGCCCAAGCUCCUUCGGGACGCAGCUGUGGAGAGUCUUGCACCAUAGGCGGAAGCCUGAUGCAUCAACGCCGCGUGGUGGAUACCGCCCUUCGAGUUGUAAACCACUUGCGCCUGUCACAAAGCGUGGAUGAAGGUACUGAGUAUAGCAGCUCCGGCUAACUACGUG